UCUUUGUUUUUUCGUACUUGUUCUGUGCUGCUGCGAACGCCGAAACUUGAUCUUCACAUCCUGGAAAAGCUCAGCAUCAUUCUACAGAAGCUUUCCAAAAUCAAGAGUAACAAGAAGCUCUUUGAAGUUUUUACCAUUCACCUAAUGCUUCAGGAAAUACAAAGGACAACACAUCCAGAGCACGCCUUUCUCUGUAUUAAUCUGAAUUCAACUCUGUUCAACCUGGGUUUGACAAAAUGUAACUCCCUGGUCACUAGUACAAGCCAUUAGAAAAAUGUGUGUGUGUGUGUGUGUGUGUGUGUGUGUGAUAUGUAUGUAUAUGUGUUCUUUAUUUGUAAAAGUGGAAAAAUCACUAAAAUACAAUUCCUCAGAGUAAAAUUAUUAACAGCAUCAUUUAUCAUGAAAGAUAUCUAGAAAGAUUUUUCAGCAACGUAAAUGAGACCCGUAGAAGGUAUGGCUGUUUUAGAAUGUUUCAGUUUAAGGUAAUACUAAUGUACAAGAUGACUUUUCCAGAAUUCAAGGCAUCAGGGUUAGAAUUCAAAGCAAUAGGGUUACAGUUUGUAAAAAUAUUUUAGGAAAAGUCUUCUUGAAAUUAUGUGAUUAUUUGGAAUAUAAUUUGUCCUUAUGUGGAAAUAAACUAUGUUAUCAUUUUUCCCU
rnacentral:lncRNA from 1 species